rnacentral:rRNA from 1 species
CUGCCUAAGGACCGGGAUACCUUGGUAAACUGAGAGUAAUACCGGAUAGGAGAGGCAUACUGGAAUGUAGUCUCUCUUAAAGGCAACGCUUAGGAUGAGUCGGCGGCGGAUUAGGCUGUUGGCGGGGUAAAGGCCCACCAAACCGACGAUCCGUACGGGCCUUGAAAGAGGUAGCCCGGAGAGGGACACUGAAAUACUGGUCCCAGCCCUAAGGGGUGCAGCAGGCGCGAAACCUUUACAAUGCACGAAAGUGUGAUAAGGGAAUCCUAAGUGCUCAUACACUGUAUGGGCUUUUGCCAAUGCUAAAUCCAUUGGCGAAUAAGUGGUGGGUAAGACUGGUGCCAGCCGCCGCGGUAACACCAGCGCCACGAGUGGGGGCGUAUUUAUUGGGCCUAAAGCGUCCGUAGCCGGUUAUGUAAAUCUUUUGUGAAAUUGUCUUUGUCAACCUGACAGAUUGCAAAAGACACUGCAAGACUAGGGACCGGGAAGGGUCAGAGGUAUUGCAGGGGUAGCGGUAAAAUGUUAUAAUCCCUGUAAGACCACCUGUGGCGAAGGCGUCUGACUAGAACGGUUCCGACGGUGAGGGACGAAAGCUAGGGGAGCGAUCCGGAUUAGAUACCCGAGUAGUCCUAGCUGUAAACGCUGUGAGCAAGGUGUUGCAUAUUCUUCGGGAAUAUGCAGUGUCAAAGAGAAGUCGUUAAGCUCACCGCCUGGGGAGUAUGGUCGCAAGACUGAAAC